UAAUGUUACACGAAUGGGAAUUGUGC
rnacentral:sRNA from 1 species